UAGCUAGCAGGGUGCACCACGAGCAGGU
rnacentral:sRNA from 1 species